rnacentral:rRNA from 1 species
GGGAGGGGUGCUAGCGUUGUUCGGAAUUACUGGGCGUAAAGCGCUCGUAGGCGGCCUGUGAAGUCUGGGUGUGAAAGCCCUCGGCUCAACCGAGGAAGUGCGCUGGAAACCCAGCAGGCUUGAGUACGGUAGGGGAUCGUGGAAUUCCUGGUGUAGCGGUGAAGUGCGUAGAUAUCAGGAAGAACACCGGUGGCGAAGGCGACGAUCUAAGCCGAAACUGACGCUUAGGAGCGAAAGCGCGGGGAGCAAACAGGAUUAGAUACCCUGGUAGUCCACGCUGUAAACGAUGGGUACUAGGUGUUGGCCCUUUAUAGGGUCGGUGCCGAAGCUAACGCAUUAAGUACCCCGCCUGGGAAGUACGGUCGCAAAGGCUG